GAUUUUUUUUUUUCUUUUCAUUGUCUAAUUUUAAAUUGAAUAUUUUGGGUUUUGUUGUGUUCGUAGGACAAACAAGGCAUCUGAUGACACCGUAUCAUCAAACUAUUAUUCAAAAAAAAAAAAUCGUCAGCUUUAUCGAAAACAGUCAUAAGUUGCCCACCUAAAGUUUAUUCACUCUUCAUCCUUAUUUGGGCAGCUCAGAAAGUAAGAAAGUAAACAAUGUACCCGCCGUUCACUGUCGUCUUUGUGCACGCGGCACCGAGAGAGAGAGCGUGUAUGUUUGCGCUCAAAACUGGCGUAACGGACAAACUGCACCUGCUGCACUGCAGUGUUUGAUUUUCCAACUCAGGACACAGAUGUGGUUUUGUCUUCAUCACAGGUCAAUGUCACAGGAUCACUACCAUUAAUCACAAUCUACCAUUCUUCUUCUUCGCUGAACUUGACAAAUAUACACCUCAACUGCUCUACAAAAAGAGGAAGACUGGAAGUUUUGGUAAGGGGAAGUUUUGACGGCAUAUGAGGAACAGAUAAAAAUAUUUUUAAUGCAUUACGUCAUUGUUGAAUGUGAACAAUGGACCCUAACAUCCCUGAAUGGAUACCUUGUCUUUGUGCAACAAGACAAGAACAUCAGCGCAGCUAGAACAGCAGUCUUGGCCGCCCUACCGCUGUAGGAUUUAUCAGAGGUCUCCAAAACUUGCAAGGCAUGUUUGUGUUCUCCUUUUCCCAUAUCCAUAGCUCAAUACCUCACUGAUGAAUAUAAAAAUUGCCUUCUACAUUCUACUGUGUACCCUGUUGACUGCCUUUAGAGCACUUCUGUACGUUACUUAAUUUUUGCUGUGUAGUGGGUGUCACAUUAUCUGGCCUUGAAAAUGUUGUAUUCUCCCUUGCUUAACUGAAUGUUGACUGUUAAAUGUUGUAAUAUUGUUUUAUUAAUUGCAAGACUGGUGUGGAGAAGGUGCUUGUCUUUAUUCAAUAAGGCUGAGAUGGGACAAAGGAAGGAAUGAAAUAGUUUGAGGUUUAUAUUGUGAUGUAGCCCUCUAGUUGUAUUGAGGGUAGUGUUAGUUCUUUUUCUUUAAGGCUGGUCGCUAUUGUUCAUCAAAACUAUGUAAUUUACAGUCAGGCAGAGAUACACUCCUUCUAUUUACUUUGCAUUGUUGUAUCAAAUGUUACCAAGUUAUAAAACUACAUUACAAAUGAAGAGAUACUCAUUGAAUAAAUUACAUUAAAUUAUAUGUAAGAGCAAGUUACACCAAAAUUAAUGAAGAAUUCUACCAAACAAAGAACAACUACAGUGAUACUCAAGGACAACCACAUCAGUACUUCUUGAGAGCACAACAAGAACAAUAUCAGUAUGUCUUAUAAUAUCUAGUUGUUCAUCAUCAUUAAGUCUGAUCAUAUGUUUUUAUCCUCCUGUUACAUGCUAUCUUUUGAUAUCUAAAGGAUAUUAAAGACUAGUGCCUGUGGUGGGGAAAAAAUAAUUCCAUUGCAACAUAGAUAUUCAUUAACUAAGAAAUGAAGAAAUCUCUGUUAAUAUGUAACAAUAUUUUCUCAGGUACUCAAAAUGCCAUGUAAAAAUGUUUUACAAGAGACAAUAAUUUUCAAAAAAAUGUCAGGUAUUUCAUUGUAGGCUGUAUAAAUCCAUUACAGUACAAUUUAUUGUUCAGUCACCGACUUGCAUGUUUUCAAGUCUAUCUUACUGCAUUUACUCACAUAUCCAUAUGUCCUAAGAAAGAGUUGUUGGUGUCUGUAAUCAUUCUUCAUGGCAGUCACUUGUAGCUUUGUCAUCAGUGUUUUGUCCAGACAAUAAACCUAUACGUGACUAGAA